rnacentral:rRNA from 1 species
UGAGGAAUAUUGGUCAAUGGACGAGAGUCUGAACCAGCCAAGUAGCGUGCAGGAUGACGGCCCUAUGGGUUGUAAACUGCUUUUGUUUGGGAAUAAUCGACAUUACGUGUAAUGUUUUGCAUGUACCAUUCGAAUAAGGACCGGGUAAUUCCGUGCCAGCAGCCGCGGUAAUACGGAAGGUCCAGGCGUUAUCAGGAUUUAUUGUGUUUAAAGGGAGUGUAGUCGGUUGGUUAAGUGUGUUGUGAAAUGUAGAUGCUCAACAUCUGAAUUGAAGCGCGAACUGGCUGACUUGCGUACACACAACGUAGGCGGAACUCAUGGUGUAGAGGUGAAAUGCUUAGAUAUCAUGAAGAACUCCGAUUGCGAAGGCAGCUUACGGGAGUGUUACUGACGCUUAAGCUCGAAGGUGCGGGUAUCGAACAGG